GACGAACGCUGGCGGCGUGCCUAAUACAUGCAAGUAGAACGCUGAAGGAGGAGCUUGCUUCUCUGGAUGAGUUGCGAACGGGUGAGUAACGCGUAGGUAACCUGCCUGGUAGCGGGGGAUAACUAUUGGAAACGAUAGCUAAUACCGCAUAAGAGUAGAUGUUGCAUGACAUUUGCUUAAAAGGUGCAAUUGCAUCACUACCAGAUGGACCUGCGUUGUAUUAGCUAGUUGGUGAGGUAACGGCUCACCAAGGCAACGAUACAUAGCCGACCUGAGAGGGUGAUCGGCCACACUGGGACGGAGACACGGCCCAGACUCCUACGGGAGGCAGCAGUAGGGAAUCUUCGGCAAUGGACGGAAGUCUGACCGAGCAACGCCGCGUGAGUGAAGAAGGGUUUCGGAUCGUAAAGCUCGGUUGUAAGAGAAGAACGAGUGUGAGAGUGGAAAGUUCACACUGUGACGGUAUCUUACCAGAAAGGGACGGCUAACUACGUG
rnacentral:rRNA from 1 species